rnacentral:rRNA from 1 species
GAUGAACGCUGGCGGCGUGCCUAAUACAUGCAAGUCGAGCGAAUGGAUUAAGAGCUUGCUCUUAUGAAGUUAGCGGCGGACGGGUGAGUAACGCGUGGGUAACCUGCCCAUAAGACUGGGAUAACUCCGGGAAACCGGGGCUAAUACCGGAUAACAUUUUGAACCGCAUGGUUCGAAAUUGAAAGGCGGCUUCGGCUGUCACUUAUGGCUGGACCCGCGUCGCAUUAGCUAGUUGGUGAGGUAACGGCUCACCAAGGCAACGAUGCGUAGCCGACCUGAGAGGGUGAUCGGCCACACUGGGACUGAGACACGGCCCAGACUCCUACGGGAGGCAGCAGUAGGGAAUCUUCCGCAAUGGACGAAGGUCUGACGGAGCAACGCCGCGUGAGUGAUGAAGGCUUUCGGGUCGUAAAACUCUGUUGUUAGGGAAGAACAAGUGCUAGUUGAAUAAGCUGGCACCUUGACGGUACCUAACCAGAAAGCCACGGCUAACUACGUGCCAGCCGCCGCCGUAA